UGAACGCUGGCGGCGUGCCUACUACAUGCACGUCGAGCGAACGGACGAGAAGCUUGCUUCUCUGAUGUUAGCGGCGGACGGGUGAGUAACACGUGGAUAACCUACCUAUAAGACUGGGAUAACUUCGGGAAACCGGAGCUAAUACCGGAUAAUAUUUUGAACCGCAUGGUUCAAAAGUGAAAGACGGUCUUGCUGUCACUUAUAGAUGGAUCCGCGCUGCAUUAGCUAGUUGGUAAGGUAACGGCUUACCAAGGCAACGAUGCAUAGCCGACCUGAGAGGGUGAUCGGCCACACUGGAACUGAGACACGGUCCAGACUCCUACGGGAGGCAGCAGUAGGGAAUCUUCCGCAAUGGGCGAAAGCCUGACGGAGCAACGCCGCGUGAGUGAUGAAGGUCUUCGGAUCGUAAAACUCUGUUAUUAGGGAAGAACAUAUGUGUAAGUAACUGUGCACAUCUUGACGGUACCUAAUCAGAAAGCCACGGCUAACUACGUG
rnacentral:rRNA from 1 species